UACGGAGGGUGCGAGCGUUGUCCGGAAUCACUGGGCGUAAAGGGCGCGUAGGCGGCUGGGGAAGUCGGCGGUGAAAGCCCGGAGCUCAACUCCGGGUGCGGCCGUCGAGACUCCUCGGCUCGAGCUCACUAGAGGCAGAUGGAAUUCCGGGUGUAGCGGUGGAAUGCGUAGAGAUCCGGAAGAACACCGGUGGCGAAGGCGGUCUGCUGGGGUGAGGCUGACGCUGAUGCGCGACAGCGUGGGGAGCAAACAGG
rnacentral:rRNA from 1 species